rnacentral:rRNA from 1 species
AUUGAACGCUGGCGGCAUGCCUUACACAUGCAAGUCGAACGGUAACAGGUUAAGCUGACGAGUGGCGAACGGGUGAGUAAUGUAUCGGAACGUGCCCAGUCGUGGGGGAUAACUGCUCGAAAGAGCGGCUAAUACCGCAUACGACCUGAGGGUGAAAGCGGGGGAUCGCAAGACCUCGCGCGAUUGGAGCGGCCGAUAUCAGAUUAGGUAGUUGGUGAGGUAAAGGCUCACCAAGCCGACGAUCUGUAGCUGGUCUGAGAGGACGACCAGCCACACUGGGACUGAGACACGGCCCAGACUCCUACGGGAGGCAGCAGUGGGGAAUUUUGGACAAUGGGCGCAAGCCUGAUCCAGCCAUGCCGCGUGCGGGAAGAAGGCCUUCGGGUUGUAAACCGCUUUUGUCAGGGAAGAAAAGGUUCUGGCUAAUACCUGGGACUCAUGACGGUACCUGAAGAAUAAGCACCGGCUAACUACGUG